rnacentral:rRNA from 1 species
CCUACGGGUGGCAGCAGUGGGGAAUAUUGGACAAUGGGCGAAAGCCUGAUCCAGCCAUGCCGCGUGUGUGAAGAAGGCCUUCGGGUUGUAAAGCACUUUCAGUGGGGAAGAAAGCCUUGGGGCUAAUACCCUCGAGGAAGGACAUCACCCACAGAAGAAGCACCGGCUAACUCCGUGCCAGCAGCCGUGGUAAUACGGAGGGUGCGAGCGUUAAUCGGAAUUACUGGGCGUAAAGCGCGCGUAGGCGGUCUGAUAAGCCGGUUGUGAAAGCCCCGGGCUCAACCUGGGAACGGCAUCCGGAACUGUCAGGCUAGAGUGCAGGAGAGGAAGGUAGAAUUCCCGGUGUAGCGGUGAAAUGCGUAGAGAUCGGGAGGAAUACCAGUGGCGAAGGCGGCCUUCUGGACUGACACUGACGCUGAGGUGCGAAAGCGUGGGUAGCAAACAGGAUUAGAUACCCGAGUAGUC